UACAGAGGGUGCAAGCGUUAAUCGGAUUUACUGGGCGUAAAGCGCGCGUAGGCGGCUAAUUAAGUCAAAUGUGAAAUCCCCGAGCUUAACUUGGGAAUUGCAUUCGAUACUGGUUAGCUAGAGUGUGGGAGAGGAUGGUAGAAUUCCGGUGGAGCGGUGAAAUGCGUAGAGAUCGGAAAGAACACCAACGGCGAAAGCACUCUGCUGGCCGACACUGACGCUGAGGCGCGAAAGCGUGGGGAGCAAACAGG
rnacentral:rRNA from 1 species